CUUUAUUCGUACUCGACGAAUGCAUCUAGAUUAUNAGUUUGAUCAUGGCUCAGAGCGAACCGCUGGCGGCAGGCCUAACACAUGCAAGUCGAACGAACUCUUCGGAGUUAGUGGCGGACGGGUGAGUAACACGUGGGAACGUGCCUUUAGGUUCGGAAUAACUCAGGGAAACUUGUGCUAAUACCGAAUGUGCCCAUUCGGUGGGAAAUGAUUUAUCGCCUUUAGAGCGGCCCGCAGAUCAUGAUUACGCUACGUUGGUACGCUGUAAUAGGACCUACCAAAAGGCGAACCGAAUCCAGGUAAGCUAGGUCUUGAGNAGGAUAGAUCAGACCAACAAUUGGAGGACCUGNAAGACAACGGGCCCAAAAACUCCUAACAGAGAGANNGGCACAAAGCAAUUGGGNGGAAAUC
rnacentral:rRNA from 1 species